AUCACAAUGCAAAAGUUCGAAAAGGUGGCCUCAUUACUACAAUAUUAUUUCGUUAUUGUAAACGGCCUUCUUUCAAAAGUUCAAGGAGUGAAUGAGAUCUGAAAAUAUAAUGCUCUGGUUAUCAAGAAAUGUAGGGGAAAGGAAGUUAGUAGAAUAUCUUAAUUUGGUUAUCACGUGGGAAACAAAACAAGUAAAUGACAUAAUAUAUGUUAUGUAACUUAGAGUAAAUUUUUUUCCUAUCCCAAGAGAAAACAUUGGUUCUUACAAAAUACUAAAAGGGAGGUGAUAUCAUUGCAUACAUAUCUGCUAGUGGUUGAAUGUUUCCAAUGCUUCAACUGAAUACUGGUUUCUUUUGUGGCUGAAAAUUUGUCUGCCUUUUUGUCUUUGUUAUCUACUUGACUACUCAAUUAUUCUUUUAUGUUUAUUUGGAUUUUUUUUUGUUUAAUGUUUGUAAGUCAAAUAAUUUGUGUAAGUAGUGCAUGUGAAUUAUAAAAUGUAGAGGCUUUAAUGCUUCCACUAUUAGUUCAUGAAUCUUUGAUUGAAUUUACCAAUUCAAUUACUCGAAGGAUUCAUGAAUCUUCGAUGCUGGCAAGAGUUCUUUAGUUUAUUAUAUCACAUUCCUUUUGCAGAUGCAUUGAUGGGUAUGAAGGA
rnacentral:misc_RNA from 1 species